CUUGAUCUAUCCGGAAAUGAACGGAAAUUGAAGAUGAGGAGAAGGAGGAGGAGUUGAGACUCUAACACUCAAAAUGAGUCCAAUGCACAUGAUAUAUGAUGAUACCCCGUUACAGCAGGAGGGGGUGAAGGUCAGUAAGUGGAAGAGCGAGUGGAACUCGAGCCAACUACAAAGUGGUAGGGGUGUACUGCUGGAGGGUGUGUUUCAUAAGAAGAGACGACACAUUAUACAAGACACUAGCAAUAAGAAGUGUUGUUUUUGUGUCUUCCAUAUUGAAUUUGAUUGUGCUUGCUAGAGAAAGUUUGAUGCUGAAGGCAAAGAAAUUGAACCGAACUUUGGGCAAACAGCAAAAGUAAAAACUAGCUACCUCAACUCAUCAUACAAAACUGUUGCCAAGGGAACACCCGACACAUUGAGUUAUGCCGAAGUGUGUGAAAGAGUUUGUUCUGAUCUGGUUGGGUUUGAGACAGGCAGUCACUCUCAGUCGAUUUGUUUUUGGGGAGAGAAUGAGAGCUAUGAUCAUGUGGAGUGUAGCCCAGGACAAAGAAUUAGACUGAAGACAAGAAGAGACUCUCUACUGAUAGAGUCAUUCACAAAGCUGGAUAGUGAUCAGCGAGCUCACUCAUCAAACUACACUGGAGGAGAGAAGACAGGACAGAGCUGGACUGAUAAGGUACUCGGACACAAAUCAACUGAUGAACCCAGCCAGGGAACAGGAGGAGGAGGAGGAAAAUGAGAGUAUGACUAUCAUUGGUGUUUGUGAUAAUGGAACUGUAUGGAGGUGGGAUGCUAAAUCAUAAAGAACCAAUAAUACACUCAACACACAAACUUAUUGUAAUACACUGUACAUCAGUAUACUGUGUAUACACCAUUAUUUUUCUAACAAACAAUAAUACAUUUUAAUUAUCAUUCACUGAUGCUAAAAGUAUAGUGUCAUGACUUGAA
rnacentral:misc_RNA from 1 species